rnacentral:miRNA from 1 species
GAACGCCACCGGAGGAUUUUG